AACGAACGCUGGCGGCAUGCCUAACACAUGCAAGUCGAACGAGACCUUCGGGUCUAGUUGCGCACGGGUGCGUAACGCGUGGGAACCUGCCCUUAGGUUCGGAAUAACUCCCCGAAAGGGGUGCUAAUACCGGAUAAUGUCUUCGGACCAAAGAUUUAUCGCCUUUGGAUGGGCCCGCGUUGGAUUAGCUAGUUGGUAGGGUAAAAGCCUACCAAGGCGACGAUCCAUAGCUGGUCUGAGAGGAUGAUCAGCCACACUGGGACUGAGACACGGCCCAGACUCCUGCGGGAGGCAGCAGUGGGGAAUAUUGGAGGACGGGCGAAAGACUGAGCCAGCAAGGCCGCGUGAGUGAUGAAGGCGUUAGGGUUGUAAAGCUCUUUUACCCGGGAUGAUAAUGACAGUACCGGGAGAAUAAGCUACGGCUAACUCCGUG
rnacentral:rRNA from 1 species